rnacentral:rRNA from 1 species
AUGGCUGACAUAAACUUACAGCACUCUGGGAGGCUCAAGAAUGUGGGGAUUGUUUUCAUUGAGGAUGGAGAGAUCAGUAAAGAGGACCUUGCAAAAGAAUUCUCUGAAAUCUACAAGACUAAUUGGCCAUGGCAGGUAAAUGCUCUUGACAAUUGGACAAUGCUAGCCAAAUUCCCACCUGAAAUUCCAGUAGAACCAGUAGCUGGAUACCCAUGUUUUGGCCUCCCCAGAAGCAAUGUCACUGUGAAUGUAGAGGUUUGGAAAGGAGAGAUUACUGCAACUGCAUCCCAACAAGUAGUCUGGCUGAAAAUCAAUCCAAAAUGGUGUGAAUGGGGCAUUCUUGACCAGAUCACAUCAGUGUUUGGCACUUUGGUUGAUGUAGAUUGGCAGUAUAGCUUCAACAGUUUCUUUGAGGUGAUUAGAGUCAAGAUCUCCUGUAGAGAUGCUAGCAAAAUCCCUAAGGAUAGAACCUUUGGCAUCAAUGGUAAAUUCUACAAGCUGCCUUUUGAGGUUGAGCCUUCUACUCAGGUGGAUAGAGAUGAUGAGAAUAGAGAUGGCACCAAUGAAGAUCUGCACAUUGGAGGGCAGGAUAUCCAAUCUGAUCCAGGAACCUCUCAUAGGACUGAAGACAACAGAUCCAGUAAAAGUACCAGGUCUGAACAAGGGGAGAAAAGUGGAAAUGACUCUGACCUUGGAAAGCAGGCAGUGCUGGCUUUCCUGCAGCAAAUGCCUGAUUCCUGCCCUUCUGCUGGAGUGGAACACCCCUCCCUCCUAAAGAGCCAGCUCCCACAAUCCCUCCAAAAAGCUAGGAAAACCAUGAUAGACAGAAUUGUUGAAGACUCUAUUUCUGAUGAGCAAUGUUACUCCAUUCUGAGGGAAAUGGAAAUGGAGGAAGACAACUUGUGCACUCUAGAUGUGAACAAUGAGAUGGGAGUUCCAAAUGACAGCACUUGGGGGAUGGGGGACAAUCAAACUUGCUUCCUCUAG